CUUUUGUGAGGUCAUUAGGUCUUGAGGGUGGAGCCCUCAUGAAUGGGAUUAGUGGCCUCAUACAAUAGGCUUGAGUGAGUUUGCCUCUUCCACUAUGUGAGGACACAGCAAGGUACUAUCUAUGAACCGAGAAAUGGGCCCUCACCAGACACCAAAUCUACUGGCACCUUGAUCUUGGACUUCUGAGCUUCCAGAACUGCGAGAAAUAAAUUUUUGUUGUUUAUAAGCUACACAGUCUAUAGCACUUGGUUAUAGCAGCAUGAAUGGACUAAGACACUCUUCCUAGAGAUGGACCUGGAGUUGGACAUUAAUGGAUGGAUAGGUGGCUAGGAGUAGAAAGGAUAAUUUUGGAUGCGAGAGAGGCCUGAGCAAAGCACAGGGUGUGAGUGCGGGAGGAUGCUGAGUAGAGGUGAGCCAGCUGAGGCUUCAAGAGGCCACGGGACUUGCCCAGGAUGUGCCACUUGGGAGUAAGUGCAUCUAAACCCAGGAAAUCUGGCUCCAGGCUCAGUCUGUGUUUCUUUGAUAAAUGCAGAUGAUGGGCAGGAGGAGAUAGGCUGUGAGAAGCUGUUUCCAUGGCAGAGAGGAACCUCGUGGGAUGGUGAACACCCUUCCUCCUGAUGUCCUCUGAGUCACACACAUUUCCUAUCUAUGGAGGUCUUCUUGCUGCUUCCUUUUCACCACUCAGGAAGUGGGAGCAAUAUUAACCCAGCCACUUCUAAGUAGAUGAGCAUUAAUCAGAGAACCACUUGGGAAUUUCUAGGUGAAAAGUUGUGCAUAAAAACAGAGCAUUUCUAUACCAGCAAGUGGUGAAAAAUAAAGGACAUUCAAAGAAUAUUAUCAUAUAACAUGAUUUUUGCAUAGAGAAUUCAGACAGACUGCUUUUGCAGACUUAAGUAAUCCCAGGAUGAAAGGUACUAUAUAUAUGCAAAGUAUUAUUAUUAUUAUCCAGUGGUAGAAAAGAAGGGCAUUUCAAAGAAUGUUUCAGUACAAUACAAUUUUACUUUGCACAGAGAGUUCAAGGGAAAAGGCUUUAUUUUAUAGACUUAAAUAAUAUCGUUAUGGAGCUACAGUAAAAUAAAUAAUACAGAUAUGGUGUUAAAAUAAAUAAUACAGUUAGGAGGCUUAAAUAAAUAAUGGUGGAAAGAGAAGAGAAAUUAAGAGUCCUGGGAAAAGGCAGGGGGAGACGCAAUUUUGAAUUAUAAGUGGUAGACGAUUGAGGUCCAAAGAGUCCUAAAAUAUUCAGGAUGUAUCUGCACUGACCAAAAAAAAAAAAAAAAAAAAAGAAAAAAAAAGAAAAAAAGGCACAGGACGAUUUGCUUUGCAAUUAAGGGAUUUAUCUUUUAUUUUUUAGUGAUAGUUUUCCCAUUGUUUCAAUGACACCGAAGGCAUAUCAAAACUUUUAGCUGAAAAGUUAAAAAUAAUUAAAUUCACCAUGUUAUGGGAUUUACACUAAAUAACAUCCUGGGGUGGGCACUGCUCAAAUUUUGUGGUCCCCAUGUUUUUUUAGAGGUCUGGAAUCUCAUCUUUCUACAGAGACAUGAUUAAAACACUCCAGGCAGAACAACCAAACCCUUUCUUCAGCUAUAAACUUAAGCUGGGUGACUUUCUAGACCUGAUAUUCUGAGAAUAAAAAUGAGCUGGGUGCUUUUCGGAGGGAGCAAGUAAAGGGACUGCCAUUUAUUUCUCCAUGGUUCUGAGCUUGGCAGUGGACCACAGGAAUCAGGCUCCUGAGGGAGUGUUGGAGAUGGAAGGAAAGGGAUUAAGAAGCCAGAAAGCUGAAGCUGAGGUGAGCUUCAUCCACCCCCAGGACAAAGGCUGGCAGAUUGGGUCCUCUUCGUGGUUGAAGGA
rnacentral:lncRNA from 1 species